UUCUUUCGGGUCUGUAGUUGCGGAAGCCCAAGGCUUCCAAGUCCAUGGCAGAUGCGGUCGAAAGGAUCCACGUAAGCGGCUGGCAUGCCAGACGUGAGCAUGGCGUAUCCUAGAGGUAAGACGCACCGUCCGCACCCAUUUCGCAGAUCAGACUCUGCGACGGACGAGAGGGCGUGUAGCGCAAGCGAAAACCCCGGUGCGCGAGUGUGGGGUCAAAGACUAGGUCAGUCGAAAGAG
rnacentral:ncRNA from 1 species